ensembl:lncRNA
AUGCUGAAAAGACAUAAAGGAAGCAGUCACCCCAGUGGUGUUUGUGGAGAGGUAUUCCUUCAGAAAUGGAGAAGACAGAAAGCUGCAGAGGCAGGAUUGUUUGCAGAUAAUGCUGUUCUUCUUUUUCAGAAGUUUUUGGUGAGCCAACUCUCACAAACCUUCCUAAAAACUAAAAGAGCUAUUACUGAGUCUCGGCUAAUCUUGCCAUGGUCAGCUCUUCCCAGAAGAGAAGGAAGACCAAGGAAAUUAUUUGCUCAGGAUGAGAAAUGAAGAUGGCCAUCUUGUGCUCAAACAAACAGAAGUCCUCUG